GGGCGAUUAGCUCAGCUGGUUAGAGCGCUUCUCUGAUAAGGAAGAGGUCGGUGGUUCGAGUCCACCAUCGCCCACCA
rnacentral:tRNA from 1 species